rnacentral:rRNA from 1 species
UUUAAAGAGAGUUUGAUCCUGGCUCAGGACGAACGCUGGCGGCGUGCCUAAUACAUGCAAGUCGAACGAACGGAGGAAGAGCUUGCUCUUCCAAAGUUAGUGGCGGACGGGUGAGUAACACGUGGGCAACCUGCCUGUAAGUUGGGGAUAACUCCGGGAAACCGGGGCUAAUACCGAAUGAUAAAGUGUGGCGCAUGCCAUGCUUUUGAAAGAUGGUUUCGGCUAUCGCUUACA